GACGAACCGUGCGAACGUUGUUCGGAAUCACUGGGCAUAAAGGGCGCGUAGGCGGCUUUUCAAGUCAGGGGUGAAAUCCGGCAGCUUAACUGUCGAAGUGCCUUUGAUACUGGGAAGCUCGAGGGAGGUAGGGGUCUGUGGAACUUCCGGUGGAGCGGUGAAAUGCGUUGAUAUCGGAAGGAACGCCGGUGGCGAAAGCGACGGACUGGACCUCUUCUGACGCUGAGGCGCGAAAGCCAGGGGAGCAAACAGG
rnacentral:rRNA from 1 species